AACGGCCGUACCAUGCUGAAUAUACCGGUUCUCGUUAGAUCACCGAAGUCAAGCAUCAUUGGGCGCGGUCAGUACUUGGGUGGGUGACUACCUGGGAACACCGCGUGCCGUU